rnacentral:rRNA from 1 species
AACGAACGCUGGCGGCAUGCCUAACACAUGCAAGUCGAACGAGACCUUCGGGUCUAGUGGCGCCCGGGUGCGUCACGCGAGGGAACCUGCCCUUAGGUUCGGAAUAACUCCCCGAAAGGGGUGCCAAUACCGGAUAAUGUCUUCGGACCAAAGAUUUAUCGCCUUUGGUUGGGCCCGCGUUGGAUUAGCUAGUUGGUAGGGUAAAAGCCUACCAAGGCGACGAUCCAUAGCUGGUCUGAGAGGCUGGUCAGCCACACUGGGACUGAGACGCGGCCCAGACUCCUACGGGAGGCAGCAGUGGGGAAUAGUGGACAACGGGCGAAAGCCUGAUCCAGCUAUGCCGCGUGAGUGAUGAAGUCCUUAGGGUUGUAAAGCUCUUUUACCCGGGAUGAUAAUGACAGUACCGGGUGAAUAAGCCCCGGCUAACUCCGUG